AGAAGCGGAAACAGGAGCAGCAGCAGCAGCAGCAGCGGCAGGAGAGGCACACAGGAGCCAGAUCCUAAAGGCUUUGUAUGCCACAUUAGGAAAGAAUUUGGAAUACAGCUUCUGUUUGGAAAACAUUUUCUGUAACCAGCCCGACAAUAUGACCUGCCAGCGUCACACAACUUUCAUACAAAGAAAUCAACUCAGUGGUCAGCGGAAACUUGAUGAUAGCAUAGUGGUCAAGCUUGUUUCUCCUGGGAGCGCUCUUCCGAGGAUAUUUGGGCUGUCUCCAGAGUCGCAGUGUCUUCGGCUGCCGGAAGGUAAGGAACCUGCUGCGCGUGAGAUCCCAUUACCAAGUAAAGGGUCACUGAAAGGCGAUAACAAGAGAAAGGGCUCAUGUCUGACUGCCAGUGUUAGCAUAAAGGAGAGCCAUUUUGCCAAGAACAAUACAGCCUGUGGAACUCACCAGAGAAGUGCCCCAGUAACAACCCGACCUGCAUUAUUUGCAAACCAUGACCUGGAUGUUCCGAAGAUAGCAGCCACACAAAAUUCUCCGCCCAUCGAUUUGCUGGGUGAAAUUUGUGGAGGAGGUUUAACUUUGCUUAAAAAAUAAAAUAAGAGUAAAAAACAAUUAUCAUGAUGAAAUGAUACUCCUUUAGGUAAUGACAGUUUUUCCUUUAAAUUCCACCCCUAUUCAAAUCCUCCAGUAUGAACAUGCAUUUUGCCUUAAGUAAUAAAUGGUGAUGUGAGACUA
rnacentral:lncRNA from 1 species